rnacentral:tRNA from 1 species
GUCUCCAUGUAGCACAGUGGUUAGAGCAUCCGACCUGUGUGCGGAAGGUCAUGGGUUUGACUGCUGUCGGGGACU